AUUUUCUUUCUUAAGGUGGGGAGAAGAAUUUUCAUUGUCUAAGCACCCUCAGGGAACAGAAGUCAAAGCAAUAACAUAUUCAGCAAUGCAGGUCUAUAAUGAAGAGAAGCCAGAAGUUUUUGUGAUCAUUGACAUUUAAGACACAAGAAAAGAAAAAAGAAAAGUCCUCCUUUGAA